rnacentral:tRNA from 1 species
AAGGGAGACCUAAUUCAGGUAUAAGACGAAAAAAAAGUAGUCCCUACCAAGAAUCAAUCCCAAAAGGUCGGAACGAGGUAUGAGGCUUUCAAACUAGGUUCUGGGUUCAUAAAAGACUUGAAUCAGGAACAAGGGCUAUUAGCUCAGGUGGUUAGAGCGCACCCCUGAUAAGGGUGAGGUCCCUGGUUCGAGUCCAGGAUGGCCCACCUGCACAGGUGGCAAAAACAAGAGAAGCUCCGAAUCAGCACCUUAUCUUAUAUACAUAUAUAAGAGAGAAUGCUGGCUCUGAGUAAAGAGUCCAGAGGAACCUUGAAAACUGCAUAGAGCUAGGUGAAAAAGCCAAAAAAGAAGACCGCAA